CUAGACCGGUGGUCGCGGCGCGUUGGUCUUCGUUUAGUUCAAUUCCAAUUCGGAUUUUUUACGGAGAUCGUUUCAAAAAAACAAGUGAAAACGUGAUUGUUUUGUUAAACAUCGUGAAAGUGAAUGGUGUUUGUAAAGUGCUAAAGUUUUGUUUUUCCACUGCUAGAUAAAAAAAGUGGUAAAAUCAAUUUGUGCUUUGUGAAAGUCAUUACAAGUACAAAAACAACAUGAAGGACUAUUCAUCAGGAAAUAAUUUCAAGUGAAACAAAAUCCUGUGACUAUGAAGUGUGACGUCUCCUUGGUGGCCAGGCUACCGUAAAGUGCCGUAUAUCCGCCGUCGCGAUGGCCACCAUGUCGGGCGCUCUGACCCCCAACGCACCCGCCUCCACCGACGACGAACAAACGCGCCGACGGUCGGUCUUUUAUGUGCCAUUGUUUGAAAGUUUCGACAAUUACCUGCCCCUCACAGCCGAGGAAAAAGAAGCACUAAUAUGUGGCCAGAACAUUGACGAAAUUCCAAUAAAACCG